GAUGAACGCUAGCGGCAGGCCUAACACAUGCAAGUCGAGGGGCAGCACGUCUUCGAAUGGUGGCGACCGGCGCACGGGUGCGUAACGCGUAUGCAACCUACCUCUUACAGUGGGAUAGCCCAGAGAAAUUUGGAUUAAUACCGCAUAGUAUACAGAUUCAGCAUUGGGACUGUAUUAAACAUUUAUGGGUAAGAGAUGGGCAUGCGUUCUAUUAGUUAGUUGGAGUGGUAACGGCACCCCAAGACAGCGAUAGAUAGGGCCCUGAGAGGGGGAUCCCCACACUGGUACUGAGACACGGACCAGACUCCUACGGGAGCAGCAGUGAGGAAUAUUGGACAAUGGGCGAGAGCCUGAUCCAGCCAUGCCGCGUGCAGGAGACGGCCCUAUGGUUGUAAACUGCUUUUGUACGGG
rnacentral:rRNA from 1 species